CUACGGGUGGCUGCAGUGGGGAAUAUUGCACAAUGGGCGCAAGCCUGAUGCAGCCAUGCCGCGUGUAUGAAGAAGGCCUUCGGGUUGUAAAGUACUUUCAGCGGGGAGGAAGGGAGUAAAGUUAAUACCUUUGCUCACUGACGUUACCCGCAGAAGAAGCACCGGCUAACUCCGUGCCAGCAGCCGCGGUAAUACGGAGGGUGCAAGCGUUAAUCGGAAUUACUGGGCGUAAAGCGCACGCAGGCGGUUUGUUAAGUCAGAUGUGAAAUCCCCGGGCUCAACCUGGGAACUGCAUCUGAUCCUGGCAAGCUUGAGUCUCGUAGAGGGGGGUAGAAUUCCAGGUGUAGCGGUGAAAUGCGUAGAGAUCUGGAGGAAUACCGGUGGCGAAGGCGGCCCCCUGGACGAAGACUGACGCUCAGGUGCGAAAGCGUGGGGAGCAAACAGGAUUAGAUACCCCGGUAGUC
rnacentral:rRNA from 1 species